AUAACAUCAGUUCGCGUACGAUCACCGAAGUUAAGCAAUGUCGAGCCAGGUCAUUACCUAGAUGGGUGACCGAUUGGGAAUACUAGGUGCU